CAACAGGGAUUGCCCCAGUAACGGCGAGUGAACCGGCAACUGCUCAAAUUUGAAAUCCGGCGCAAGCCCGAGUUGUAAUUUGCAGAGGACGCUUCGGCCCCGCGGUCGCCCCUCAAGUGCCCUGGAAAGGGACGCCAGGGAGGGUGAUAGCCCCGUCAGGGGGGGUUGACCCGGGGUCGUGUGAAGUCUCCUCGAAGAGUCGAGUUGUUUGGGAAUGCAGCUCUAAAGCGGGAGGUAAAUUCCUUCCAAAGCUAAAUACCGGCCAAGGACCGAUAGCGCACAAGUAGAGUGAUCGAAAGAUGAAAAGCACUUUGGAAAGAGAGUCAAACAGUACGUGAAAUUGUUGAGAGGGAAGCGUUUGCGAUCAGACGCGUCGGGGAUCGGCUCACCCUGGCCCGCGUGGCCGGGGGCACUCCCUCCCCCGACGAGCCAGCAUCGGCCCGGACGGCGGCAGGAUCCGACGGGGAACGUGACUCCCUCGCGGAGUGUUACAGCCCCGCCGGACCACCCCACCGCCCGUGCGGGCCGAGGCAGGCGCAUCCCCUUUGGGGUGCUCGGAUGCUGGCGUAAUGGUCGUAAGCGGCCCGUCUUGAAACACGGACCAAGGAGUCCAACGUCCGCGCGAGUGUGUGGGUGUCAGGCCCGCGCGCGAAAUGAAGGUGAACGAAGGUGGGAAGCCGCCCUUCCUUCCGGGGAAGGUGGCCGCACCAUCGACCGAUCCGGAUGUCCUCGGAUGGAUUUGAGUGGGAGCGCGGCCGCUGGGACCCGAAAGAUGGUGAACUAUGCCUGCUUAGGCUGAAGUCAGGGGAAACCCUGAUGGAAGGUCGCAGCGGUUCUGACGUGCAAAUCGAUCGUCGAAAGUGGGUAUAGGGGCGAAAGACUAAUCGAACCAUCUAGUAGCUGGUUCACACCGAAGUUUCCC
rnacentral:rRNA from 1 species